rnacentral:RNase_P_RNA from 1 species
CGAGUUGAUUGGGCAGUUGCGCAUUUUUUAAUGUGAGGAAAGUCCGAGCAGCACAGAGCAGGAUAACGGCUAACGGCCGCCGAGGGUGACCUUAGGGAAAGUGCAACAGAAAUAAACCGCCGCUUUAUGCGGUAAGGAUGGAAAGGCGAGGUAAGAGCUCACCGAGCGGAUGGAGACACCCGCUGCCAUGUAAACCCUAUCCGCUGCAACACAGACAGGGAAGCUGUUUGCUCGACACAUAAUCCCGAAAUGUGGCUGGAGUGCGUCAGUAAGGGCGGAUCGAGAUAGAUAAUUGCCCCAGACAGAACUCGGCUUACAGAUCAGCUCGCAUA